rnacentral:rRNA from 1 species
AGCAGUCGCCGCGGUAAUACAGAGGGUGCGAGCGUUAAUCGGAUUUACUGGGCGUAAAGCGUGCGUAGGCGGCUUCUUAAGUCGGAUGUGAAAUCCCUGAGCUUAACUUAGGAAUUGCAUUCGAUACUGGGAAGCUAGAGUAUGGGAGAGGAUGGUAGAAUUCCAGGUGUAGCGGUGAAAUGCGUAGAGAUCUGGAGGAAUACCGAUGGCGAAGGCAGCCAUCUGGCCUAAUACUGACGCUGAGGUACGAAAGCAUGGGGAGCAAACAGGAUUAGAUACCCCUUAGUCCCUGUCUCUUAUACA